rnacentral:tRNA from 1 species
UCAGGGGUAGUUUAAUCGGCAGAACGCCUGGCCUUGGACCAGGUAGUUGGGGUUCGAAUCCCUGCCCCUGAGACA